UACAGAGGUCUCGAGCGUUGUUCGGAUUCAUUGGGCGUAAAGGGUGCGUAGGUGGCGCCGUAAGUCAGGUGUGAACUCCCGCAGCUUAACUGCGGAACUGCAUUGGAAACUAUUUGACUAGAGGAAUGGAGGGGAGACUGGAAUACUUGGUGUAGCAGUGAAAUGCGUAGAUAUCAAGUGGAACACCAGUGGCGAAGGCGAGUCUCUGGACAUUUCCUGACGCUGAGGCACGAAAGCCAGGGGAGCAAACGGG
rnacentral:rRNA from 1 species